ACGGAGGGUGCAAGCGUUAAUCGGAAUUACUGGGCGUAAAGCGCACGCAGGCGGUCAAUUAAGUCAGAUGUGAAAGCCCCGAGCUUAACUUGGGAAUUGCAUCUGAAACUGGUUGGCUAGAGUCUUGUAGAGGGGGGUAGAAUUCCAUGUGUAGCGGUGAAAUGCGUAGAGAUGUGGAGGAAUACCGGUGGCGAAGGCGGCCCCCUGGACAAAGACUGACGCUCAGGUGCGAAAGCGUGGGGAGCAAACAGGAUUAGAAACCCGUGUAGUCC
rnacentral:rRNA from 1 species